rfam:Calothrix sp. PCC 6303, complete genome.
GUUCCUAUAAACCAAAAUCCCUAUCAGGGAUUGAAAC